UUAAAGUUUUAUUUUGGCUUGAAAAUUUGUUAUUAAUUUGAUUUAUAUGUAAAUUUUUGUAUGAAUUUGUAUUUAUUUUAAAAAUAAAUAUACUAUAUUUAUUCGCAGUAAUUAAUAUUAUUAAUUAAAGAAAUUUAGAAAUAGCAAUAUUAAAAAGUAUUGGCAAAAUUGGUGCCAGCAGUCGCGGUUACACCAAUAAUACAAAUAAAUUUUUUUAGUAAAAGUUAAAUGAUUAUAAAAUUAAAUAAAAUUAAAUUUAUUAGGUGAAAUUUUAAAUUUAAAUUAUUUAUUUGUAAAUAAAUUGAAACUAAAAAAUUUUAAUUAAAAACUAGGAUUAGAUACCCUAUUAUUUAAAAUGUAAAAAAAAAUUAUUAAAGUAGUAGUAGUUAUGUUCUUGAAACUUAAAAAAUUUGGCGGUAUUUUAAUCUCUCCAGAGGAACCUGUUUUGUAAUCGAUAAUCCACGAUGGACCUUACUUAAGUUUGUAUUCAGUUUAUAUACCGUCGUUAUCAGAAUAUUUUAUAAGAAUAAUAAUAUUCAAUAAUUUUUAAAAAAAUUUAUAUCAGAUCAAGGUGUAGCUUAUAUUUAAGUAAUAAUGGGUUACAAUAAAAAUAUUUAAACGGAUAAAAUUAUGAAAAAAUUUUUGAAGGUGGAUUUGGUAGUAAAAUUAUAAAGAUAAAUAAUUUGAUUAUAGCUCUAAAAUAUGUACACAUCGCCCGUCGCUCUUAUUAUUAAGGUAAGAUAAGUCGUAACAUAGUAGAUGUACUGGAAAGUGUAUCUAGAAUGAC
rnacentral:ncRNA from 1 species